ACCCCAAGGACGGAAAGUUGGAGCAGGAGGUAGCGGGCUGCUGGACCUCCCACUGGGGGUCAAAAUCCCCGUGCAGCCUGGCACCAAGCCUGUCUUUUGGAGGACAAAGCUGGGGGAAAAGCUUCACCAGCCUUCUCCUCAUUUUGAUCUGGGAGAUCCAUACUGUCGCCAUCUGCGCGCAGAAUACAACAGCCUGCAUGACCCAUAUCUGCAGGACUACCACAACCGCAAAGACAACCUGCAGAACCUGAAGAACAGGGGCCUUGUCACCGAGGAUGGCAAAGUUGUCUGCACUCUGAAAGAGUUCAACGAGUACAGGCAGUA